CUGAAAUGAGUGCUACAUUCUUCCCAGAGGUCAGACACAAUCUCUUCCUAGGAUAACUUCAGUCUACGUUUUUUCAUGUGGCAAAGUGAAUGAGGAUUAUCAAACAGCAGCCCAGUAAUGCUGUGGUUUGGCAGAGCUGUACUUGCUGAAGCAGAAACAAACGUAACUGAGCACAGAGCCUUGUCUAUGAAUGUUUUAUGAAAAUGUGUGUGUGGAGGCAGCAGCAACAGCAGCCUGAGGCAGAGUCUGAUGUUGUUGGAGGUUCUCCGGUCCCUUUGAGCAGUAACAGCAGUGGUGAUCAUAGAGAAAGGCAGGAUUGUGUUUGGUUUGAAAGUCAAUACAGCCUCUCUAAAAAGGAGUGAGAGAGACUGAUGGUUGUGAUUGGUGUGACCCUGAGACCUCCCCAAUCCCAAAGGUGGUAUGUAAUAUGUCAUUGGAACACUAGUAACUCAAUGAUCAUUAAUGAUAUAUGUACAACCACACACGACCUUACAGAUAUGUGCUGCAAAUGUGUUCUUAAAGUGUAUUUGUUGAUCAAUGCCUAAGUUACUCUUGUUCCAGACAAAGGAAUAUGGUUCCACCUGCUUGAGCAUGUCUCCAAUGUAAGUUAGGCAAAGAAAAGCACAUUGACAUGCAUGGUAAACCAAGCCAUCAGAAAAGUAAGCAGGGAAAGCUGAAUACUUAACAUAUGGAGACUGUACCCCA